GACGAACGCUGGCGGCGUGCUUAACACAUGCAAGUCGAACGGAAAGGCCCGCUUGCGGGUACUCGAGUGGCGAACGGGUGAGUAACACGUGGGUAACCUGCCCUCAGCUUUGGGAUAACUCCCGGAAACGGGUGCUAAUACCGAAUACUGACCAACUACCGCAUGGCAGAUGGUUGAAAGUUUUUCGGCUGAGGAUGGGCCCGCGGCCUAUCAGCUAGUUGGUGGGGUGAUGGCCUACCAAGGCGACGACGGGUAGCCGGCCUGAGAGGGCGACCGGCCACACUGGAACUGAGACACGGUCCAGACUCCUACGGGAGGCAGCAGUGGGGAAUAUUGCGCAAUGGGCGAAAGCCUGACGCAGCGACGCCGCGUGAGGGAUGACGGCCUUCGGGUUGUAAACCUCUUUCGACAGGGACGAAUUUGACGGUACCUGUAAAAGAAGCACCGGCUAACUACGUGCCAGCCGCCGCCGUAAAAC
rnacentral:rRNA from 1 species